AGAGUUUGAUCCUGGCUCAGGACGAACGCUGGCGGCGUGCUUAACACAUGCAAGUCGAACGAGACGAUUGAAAGCUUGCUUUUGAAAGUCGAGUGGCAAACGGGUGAGUAACGCGUAGACAACCUGCCGUAAAGAUGGGGACAACAGUCCGAAAGGACUGCUAAUACCGAAUGUUGUGGAACUUCCGCAUGGGGGCUCCACUAAAGAUGGCCUCUACUUGUAAGCUAUCGCUUUACGAUGGGUCUGCGUCUGAUUAGCUAGUUGGUGGGGUAACGGCUUACCAAGGCGACGAUCAGUAGCCGGUCUGAGAGGAUGAACGGCCACAUUGGAACUGAGACACGGUCCAGACUCCUACGGGAGGCAGCAGUGGGGAAUCUCCCGCAAUGGGCGCAAGCCUGACGGAGCAACGCCGCGUGAGUGAAGAAGGGUUUCGACUCGUAAAGCUCUGUUGUCGGGGACGAAUGUGGAGAUGGUGAAUAACCAUUUUUCAAUGACGGUACCUGACGAGGAAGCCACGGCUAACUACGUGCCAGCAGCCGCGGUAAUACGUAGGUGGCGAGCGUUGUCCGGAAUUAU
rnacentral:rRNA from 1 species